rnacentral:rRNA from 1 species
GAUGAACGCUGGCUACAGGCUUAACACAUGCAAGUCGAGGGGAAACGACGGGGAAGCUUGCUUCCCCGGGCGUCGACCGGCGCACGGGUGAGUAACGCGUAACCAACCUGCCUCUGACUGAGGGAUAACCCGUCGAAAGUCGGCCUAAUACCACAUGGUAUCGUCUGCGGGCAUCCAACGACGAUUAAAGAUUUCAUCGGUCAGGGAUGGGGCUGCGUCUGAUUGGCUUGUUGGCGGGGGAACGGCCCAGCAAGGGUACGUUCAGGAGGGGUUCUGGGAGGAAGGCCCCCCGCAUUGGAACUGCGGCCCGGUCCACACCCCUACGGGGGGCAGCAGUAAGGACUAUUGUUCAAUGGGCGAUGGCCUGAACCAGCCAAGUAGCGUGCAGGAAGACGGCCCUCUGGGUUGUAAACUGCUUUUAAGCGGGGAUAAAGUGAGGGACGUGUCCCUCAUUGCCGGUACCGCAUGAAUAAGGACCGGCUAAUUCCGUG